UUCUUAUAAAGAUAAUAUUUCCUCAUGUUUAUAUUAUUUACUAUAUAUUAUCAAUGACUAUUUUUUAAAAAUAAUAUAAUAAAAACUGUGACAAAAAUAUGUGAAAAUAAACUUUUUAAAAAUCAACGCGCAGAUUUUAUUUACGCGGUUUCUCAUGAGCGCGCCACUGACGGUAUUCUCUACGUUUGUCAAGUUGAAGCGGGAUACCAGUCGUCAUUGUUUUACAUUUAUUAUUUAUUGUUGAAUAAACUGUUCUACUAAUAAGCAUAAAAAAUAAUUAAAAAAUUCUUAUCUGAUAAUAUAAUUCGCAACAAAAAUAAAUAGUUUGAAAAUUUUGACAUAUUGAUAGUGUUGAGAGUUAAAUAAUUAUUUGCAAUGGAAAGAGAGAAUAUGUAGACUUUAACUUGUGUUUAACAAGUGAUCAUUACGAUUUGAAUACAAAAUUUUCCUUUUUUCUUUUGGAUAGUGAGAAAGAAAAAGUUUUUAUAGUAAUAAAAUACUUUUCUUUAAAUAAAGGUGAAGGAAUGUAUUUUUCGUUAAGCAAAAAAAUUUUAUUGGCUAGUGCAGAUAAAUAUUUACCUGAUAAUACUUUGACGGUGUGUCUUGAUCUCACUGUGUAUAACACCUCUAUUACAACUCCCACAAAACUUUCAUUUAAUGUUCCAAAACAUCAAAUGGCUCACGACUACACUGAAUUGUAUAACUCUAAAAUCGGUAGCGAUAUUAUUAUAAAUGUGGGUGAUACUAAUUUCAAAGCUCACAGAAGUAUUCUAAUUGCGCGAAGUCCUGUUCUAUCCGCAAUGUUUUCUCAUGAUAUGAUUGAGAAGAAAGAAAGUAAAAUAUCAAUACCGGACAUUACUCCAAGGGUAUUCGAAAAAGUUCUUGAGUACAUUUAUACCGAUAAAGUAACUGGUCUGGAUGAGAUUGCUGAUGAUUUGUUAGAAGCUGCGGACAAGUAUCAGUUACAGUCACUUAAAAAUAUUUGUCAAAAAUCGCUUAGUGAAACUUUGGAUCUUGAAAAUGCAUUUGAAUUAAUGAUUUUAGCUGAUCGACAUAGUGCUGAACCUCUGUUGGAAUUCACCACCGAUUUUUUGGUCAAAAACAUAAAAAAAAAUCACAUUGACAUUCAAAAUUUUGAAAAUUUUGAGAAAUUACACUCUUCCUUAGCGUUAAAACUGUUGAAAAAAUGUUCAUUUCCUAAAAAAGAAGAUGAAGCUAGUGUUACUGAUGCAACUUCCAAAUAAUAAACAAAACUCAGAUAACAUCGAGUAUUGGAACUAAAUAAAACUUAGAGCUCAACAAUAUCAUAAUAUAUCAUUUAAAAACUAAUUCAAUGUUUUUUAAAAUUUUUACUAAUUAUUACAAUUAUUUUAUAUUUGUUUUUAUGAAAAAUUUUCAAGUGAUUUCGUAAAGUAAAAUAAAGAUUUUUAUACCGUUGAUUAUUUUAUUUACUUCCAUUAAAUUAAAAUCCCCGUUAUUUUCGAAUAUAAAGUGGCGCCAAUGUGGAUCCCAUACAAAGUCGCCGAGCUUCGAAAUUUUCCCAUAGAUCGGCCGAUGCCUGGAUUGCAAUGAUUUGCCAAUAAAUUUCUAAAAAUUUGAGUUUCCUCAUAAUAUUUUGACAGUAGGUGUUGAAGUCACUGUUUACGAUGAAUGUACUAAAAUUACAACUAUUGUUCCGUUUAAAGAUAUGAAAAGUCAAAUGGCACAUGAUUACGGAGAACUUUAUAACUCUAAAAUAGGCAGGGACGUUGUUGUGGAGGUGGGUAGUAAUAAACAAUUCCCAGCUCACAAAGUUAUUCUCAUGGCACGAAGUCCUGUUUUAGCUGCGAUGUUUUCUCACGAAAUGAUUGAGACGAAGGAUAAUCGAUUAACAAUAAUAGACAUUAGCCCAGAAAUAUUUGAAAAAGUCUUGGAAUAUAUUUACACUGAUAAAGUGGCUCAUCUUGAUGAUGACGCUGACGAUUUGUUAAAAGCCGCUGAUAAAUAUCAGCUGGAAACUUUAAAGCAAAUGUGUCAAAACUCGCUCAACAAAUCUCUAACUGCAGAAAAUUCGAUCUAUAUGAUAACUCUGGCCGAACGCCACAAUGCCAAAGAGUUAUUGGAAUGUCAGUGAGUUCAUGGUUAUUAAUGCUGAAGAGAUUAUUGAGACCAAAAACUUCAAAGAGUUGAAGAAGUCAAAAUCAUCUUUGGAUUUGAUGUUGUUUAAAAAAUUCACGAUGUUGAAUUUGGCUAAAAAUGAAACUAAAAUUACUCAUUCGAGUUAAAAAUUAUCAAGUAAAUCGAAGUUUAAAAUAUAAGUGUACUAGGUUCAGAUAUAAAAUCUCGAUUUAUAUUUCAAUGUUAUUUCUGACUAUUUUUAUAGAGAAAAUAUUUUCAUAAAUUUUUUUCUAUGAGCACAAAUAUGUUUAUAUUUAUUUUGUCAAAUAAUGCGGUUGAGUUAUUUAAAGAUGUCGACUUACUGAUAGCAUUGAGGCGUAAAAGUUAUUGCUUACGAUAUUAUUUUAAUCGGAACACGAUAUGGAAACAAAAAACGUCACCAUUUUCAACUGGAAUUACUUAUUACUGAUAACAUCAUCUCAUGUUUUUUG